UGUGGAAGUGCAGUGCUGGAACAUGUUUUGGAGGCCGAUUUGGAGGCUUGUCAUCUCCUCCUGAAAGGCCUGGAUCAGAGAAACCUCAGCCUCUCCCCAACGGAGGAUCUUCCCUCAGGAUCUGCAUCUGGAUCUGCUUCAGAUGUCCUGCCGUUCACUAAAGAUGAAGAGGACUGCGCCAUGUUGACUGCUUUAGGAGGACGCUGGUGUCCCGAAAAUGAUCUACAACACUCUCAGUUCACAAAGAAAUUGGAGGAGUUUCUCUUCUGUUUGGAGGACGAGGCUCCAGAGGAUCUGUGUGGAGAAACGACAGAGCUGACGGAGCGCUGUGAACUCAUCAGUGAGCGACUGCAUUACCUGGAAAAGCAGCUUCAGACGGCCAUAGACAACAAUGACAAGGAGC